UAGAUUGCAGAAGUGAUCUUACUUGUGCUGAGAGGAGUUACUCAGCUUCUCUUCUCAGCUGUUUUUGCAUACAUAUACUUAGAGUGUCAAUUCACUACUUUGUGGGACUUAAUUAGAAAUGGAUUAAGCCCUUUCUCUUUAAAACCCAAUUUGAACUGCUAUAGGUAUUUUCCUUAUCAUCCCUGCUCACAUGUACUAGGCACUGCCUAUAUAGCAAUUAAACUUUGCAUUUCUUUUUUACCAUCAGAAGAUAACCUUCCUCCCCUUCCCACAAGCCAUGGAGUCCUGCAGGUGUUUUUGGAGGUCUGACAGUUGUGCCUUCCCCAUGCACUCAAGUCCCUGGAAGAGCUGGGAGGCUGUGGACUGACCCUUUGGACACAGGAGAUUGCUGGUGGGGAAAACCUGCCCCAAGCAGUCUGGCUGGCUGGGUGUGCUGGCUCUGUCUGUGCCUGGCUGGAGCAGUUCCUCAUGGGAUUAUUGUGAAAGGUUGAGCAAGGAGAAGAGAUUGUUUUCAUCUCAUAAAGGGAACAACCAGAUUGUCUCACUGCUGUCUUUCCCCAGUGUGCGUCAGAAUACUGUUAAUUUAGGAGUUGGAACCCAGUGGAGGAUUUUCUGAUUCUCUACCAUGUGUUUGCCUUUGUGAUUCCAGUUUCUCUGUCAUCCUUUGGGGAUGUUUCUUCCCUGACAUCUUCAGCCUUACCAGAACUUAUUUUUGUUUCUGCCAGAGGAAACACUGAAAUUAAUAGUACUUGGUAACCAUUUUCUACAUCUUCAUCUGAUUGAUCUGAUUAUGUUAAGGCUGAGUCGAAUACUCCAUUAAGAGUUUCAACUGCUAUGAGAACUGAAGCAGGAAGAGGUUUCCCAGGAGACUGACUGUGUGUGCCUGUGUGGAGCAGACUUGGCAGGGAAUUGGCCUGCACAAUUCCCUGCCAGAGAGCAGCACAGCUCCAGCACUUCUGUCACCAGAUACCUGGGGUGAUCCUGAGCUGGGAAUAGACACCUGCUGGCUCAGACUUUUUUAUCAUCCUGGGGGCUGCUCUUCCCUCCAGAAACAAGGGGAAUUCAUGCCUCUGCCUGUUCAUCUACAGGAAUAUUGAUGUAAUGCAGUGCCCCAUUUUGGGAAGCAGUGUUUUUCCAGGGAUGGAAAAGUGCUUGCUUUGUGGGAGGGAAUACUUCUUGCAAACAAGCACUGAAUUUCCUCAUUUUACUUUACUAGGGAUUUCUAUUGGAAAAUAAGGCUGGAGGGGGGAAGUUUGGAAUGAUUCUGGGAAGCUUUGACUCAGAAAAGGGAGAAUGAUUCAUGUUAUUACUGUUAUUUAUUAAGGAGAACAGACCAUGAACCUGAUCUUUUACUUAUCUUUGGAAACCUAAAGCACUUAUGCAGUGACCCCAGAAGAGUUUGUGGGUUUGAAACAAGAUCUUCCAACAUAAAAGCUAAAUCCCAGCUGUGGGAGCUGGCCCACAACAUUUUAUGAGGAUGUACUCCUAUUACCUUCAUACUUGAUAAGUAUUUUAAUAUCCUUAGUGCUUCCCUUCUCUGUUUGUGAAACGGGGUGGUAAAUAAGGCUUGAAACUUGACCCUUUCUGUGCUGUGACCGUGGUCAGUUUAUCUCUGGUUAUUGCUGGAGUCUCAAUGUAAGAGGUUAUUCAAGAGUCUAGUUUUGAUGGGGAGAAUUUGAUUUCUGAGAAAACCAAUUUGUUUAGUAGUAACGUGUUUUGUCUUUUUAAUUUGGAAAUAAACAUUUAGUUCUCCAAAAAUAACUUUGCUGUUAAUAAUCAAAACCUAAGAUAAUCAAAGGUAUAAUUAGAAAGAAGGUCUUAAGCUCCAUCUUAAGAUAAUACUGAGAACUGUGAGAUAAUUUACAUUUGUGUUUGUAUUCUGCUGUGAAAAAUAGAUAAGUGCAACCUGAACAAUGUUUUAAUUAUAUUUGGUAAGAGAAUUUAAAUGAGGAAAAAUCAAAAUUUGACACAGUCUAUGUCCCACCUGCAACUUCAUUAUUGUAUUUCAGAAGGCAGUAUAACUUCAUCUUUUAGCUAAUUCCUUAGGUCAGUUCUUUAAGGAAUCAAUCAGACAAGGUUCUGUCCAUUUUAUGAAAAUAGAAAGGCACUUGACUGUGUCCACACAGUUUUGUCUUCUCCACUUGUAGUAUCAUACUGUACACCCCUAAUACUUUUGGGUGUGCUGUCAGAGGCUGAGAAUCAGAGAAGUUAAGAGAGAGUUUUAACUCAUAGGUUUAAGUUCUAGAGUUAGAGACUGUAACAAAUAUCUCCAUUACCCUCCUGAAAAAUCCUGUUAGCAAAGCGGUCCCAUCGUAUCUAAGUUACUGGCUUGAGUAUUGCUUGUAUUGUCUGUUAAAGUAUAGCAGCUCAAUCUCAGAGAUUGAGAAGGCAUGCAAAGACUCUACUAGCGAAAAAAAAUGGAUAGAAAGGACGAAUUGUCACAGCAAGUAUAGAGACUUGAACUUAGACUGUAUCUCAGUGCACUGGCGAAGGCAAAGUCCUCAGCUUCCACAACUGUGAAUCAAACACUUCUGACCAACUUAACACCCAUCCCAGAAGGAUUUCCUUACAGGCUCAAGAAAACUGAUUUGUGUCAGUUGGAAUAAUCACACUGCUCAAAGUUAACAGGUCUCCAAGGUUUUGGAUAAUCAACAGAAAUCUUAAUUGCGUUCAACCCCAGAUAAGAAUUUAUCAGUAAUAACAGAUAUUUAGUUGACAUGUAAGCAGUCCUGUGAGGUCACCAAAAAACAUUUCUUGGAUCAUAUCUGUUAGUGGAGUUGAAAGUUUUCUUUGCUUAAAGGUCCAAAGUAAUGUCAGCCACAUGGCCAUGGAAGAGAUGUGAUAAGGCAUUGAAAAUCCAUCAGUGUUUUCUUCAUAAAGCUGCAAAAUAAACACAUUGAACUUUGCUGUAGUCAAUUUAUGCCUGAAAUCAUCUUGUCCUGUGUCCUGUGAGAGAAUCUGAGAAACUGUUGUGGAAGAAAGAAGAUCCUCUGUCAGGAUUGUGAAUACCUUCCAAAACUGAACUCAAACAGUGAGCUAUGCACUCAAGUACUGGAGUCUAUGGGUGACAUUACAGGGAGGGGCUGCAUAAGAACAAACAUAUGUCAAACAUAUUGUAGAGGUUUCCUCCUACUGGGCUUGGACUUUGUAGCUCUCUUAGGUUGCCAGAAUUAAACACGAUACACAGUUUGUGGCUUUUGUGUCGUAUUUCUUAAUGCAGUGCCUGAUGUACAAAUCGAAUACUGCAGCAGGAUACAGGGAUCAAUAGUUACCUUACCAAGUGACCUGUCUCCUGUCCUUGCUUUGACCUCUGGAGCUCUCCUUGGCUAUCCUCAUCUCCCUCCCCAAAUCAGCAAUCUCUGCAUAAAGGAAAUGAGCAUCAAGAUCGUUCCCAGCAAGAAGUAUCUUCAUAAUAAGAACAAAAUCUCUAUUUCAUGGAAACAUUUUAUGAGUCAACAUGCCGAAAUCCACAGUUCAGGCAGUUCAUCCCAAAGAUCAUUAUUAAGUAGUAGGGUUAAGAACUGUUUUCUUGGGAGUGAUUUUGCUACUUGGGCAAAUCUCUCACAGGUACAGCCUAUUAGGAAGUGCAGACCUCUUCCUAUAAACAAGCAAGCAAAAACAAUCCAAAGGACAGCAAUGAUCUGUUGCCUUGCCAGCAGGGAAAGUCCAAGAGAAGGCAUAGACUUCAGCAGAAGUAGAAUCUUGGGGGGAAAAGCUGUCGUCUAUAAUGGGAUUUUUUGAAGGAACCAUUUAUUCUGUACAAAAUUGUCCAGUCAAAAGAGCUGAUGAGUUUAAGGAACCAGCAGAAAUACCCAAGGAAAAGCUCAGGCAGCCCAGCCUGGUUAUUGAAUUGAAUGCAACACUCUCUUUGUAUAGUACAGGUGGGCCUGAGAAGAGAUUUAAGUCAUCUGCUAUGCAACAUGAUUUACUUUGCCAUAGCCAAUUUCAUCUGCAGCAGCCAACACUGAUUUUUCAAGUGGGUAACUCCAGCAUUUGCAGUCUGAGAAUGCAGCCCCUUUUUUUAUCUUUUUUUCCUUUUUAUUUUUUUUCUCUUUUUUUUUUUUUUUAAAUUGAAGAUGAUCAAAAGAACUCAAAUUACAGGAACUUCCCUCACCUGAGAGGCACAGAGUUUGGUAAGUAGAUCUUUUUGAAAAUUCUCUUAAGAACACCCCUAGCUUCAGCCUGGUGAUUCAACACUGAUAUGUUCCUCUUUUCUCCUAGGAAUAAGAAUUCCAGUACCAGCAAGAAGCAUCCAGAAGAGUCUGUGGAAGCAGCUACCUGGAGCAGCUCUCUUGCUGUUUUCCACCUGCAACCUCAUGAGCCUUGUCUCUAAAUAGCUGCGUUUGGGCUUUCUCCUGAAAAGCACUGAGUACUCUGCAUAUUGUUAAACAUUUUCCCAUCUGGUUUUGGCUUCACAAUGGAUUUCUCCUGAACCCUGAAAGCAGUGAAUUCUUUUGAAAGAAAAUUACCUGACUGAAGCAGAAUACAAUAUGAAGAGUCUUCCACAUGUUAGUCCUAUAUCCAGGAAGCCUCCCUUCAGGAUUAGUGGUUCCUCAGAUGCUUUGAUGGCCAGGGCUGGCAGUGCUCUCACAGGCAGAGCAACUUUCAGGUGGCCUCCUUGGCUCUGGUUUUGCCUCAAGUUGUUUUUACUUCUCUUUCCUCAGAGCUGUUUUUCCUUGUCAGCUCCUCUUCUUCCUCUUUUACUCAUGUUCUUCAAGAGCAAAUUCUCAUAAACUUACCUCAUGGUUGCUCUGUCUCCACCUUCUGCUCAUUGUAUUUCAGUAUUAUAUUUCACUUGUUGUGGUUUAUUUUUAAUCAAACCAUAUCACAUUACUUUUUGGGGCUACAGAAGAGUGUUUGACAUGUUUAAGUUGCCACUGUGAGGUUCUUCUCCAAACAGAAUUCAAACCAUUAUGUUGCAAUCUGUACCAGAGCCUUUCUAGCAGCUGUGUUUAUACAGCUUCUAGUAAAAUGGGUCCCUGAUUAGGAUUUUUGAAUAGCUCAUUCACUGAAAAAAUGGUGUUUUGAACCAGCUAAAGCUAUUUUAAAAAUUGGGAUAAUAUAUGAUUAAAAGUUUUGGUUUGAAGAAAUCAGUGGCAACACCCUGCCAAAUUUUAGGCCUCAAACAUCCUCACCAUUAGUAUCAUAAAGAUUAAGUUACUGGAUUUUAACUGGGAAAGAAGUGGUUUUCUUUUGCUUGUUAAAAAAAUUAACUGCAAAAGUAAUUUGUCACAGAUUGAAAAUUUAAUGUUUAGUCACCCAAAAUUGUUGAAGCUCGGUAAAUUAGAUAAAACUGAAGACAGGUUCUUUUUUUUUUAUUUUUUUUAUUUUUUUUAAUUUUCCAGCAACAAUGAUUUGAGGGCAACUUAAUCUAGAAUAGAAACUGGACAUUAGGCAGUUCUGGGGUUGCUCCACUGUUAUCAAGACAAGCUUUUUGAAAAACCAAGCCCCAUCCUCAGCUGAGUGACACUGACACACACCACACACUGUGUGUUGGGCAGGUGGGUUUUCAGGAGCCUGUCUGCUCCUUCCAUGCCAGGCAACCUCCUCAGGAGGAUGUAGAAGCAAUAGCUGCUGUCUCAGCAGCAGUGCCUUCUGCAGGGAACCCUGAGGCUCUUCCUCCCACUGGUGAGGCUGGGGACAAAAGGUUUCUCAUCUUUGCUGUUCCCCAUGGUGGAGGUGGCAGCUGCAUUUCCAGAAUUCUGCAGGUUAUUUGUGUUCAUGCUGCAGACACCGGCACUGUACAAAACUAAAGGCACAUUAAGGCAGGGAAACACCAAGUGCUGCUUCUGCUCCAUUAAACUGGAACUCAGGAUUAAAGGACCAAAAGCUACUUCGACUGACAAACUUCAUAUUUAAAUGUUUUUUAAAUUGUAAACUAAGAGCAAAGAUUUAUAAGUUUGUGUCAUGAUCCAUAAAUCUAGAUUUUGUCCUUUGCCUCUAGACAAAUGGCUUGUAGAGGAAUUUGUAGUGGUUUGGAUAAGUCUAGGUUUCAGCAGUCAGCCCUCUUAAGUCAGACAUAUAUGAAACAUCUGUGAUUGUUUCAGGAAUUUGGCAGACAAUCACAUGCUUAAAUCACAUUUUCCCCUUUGAACACUGGAAAUGUCCAUAUAUAAAUUAGACACACAAGCCACAUAACUCUGCAUUUGUGAAUUGGACACGGUAUCAACCUGCUGUUACCUCGCAAAUCCUACUGCAAGGUAAGAGCAAGUUGAUACCUUGCCAUAGUGAAAGUGAGCAGUGUAAAGUUUUUUAAAACUCCCUAACUAUUUUGUGCCCUGAAAUAAAACCUCAGAGCUUUGAGGGGAGUUGUUGCUAAAUGGCAGGCUACUUUAGUGUUCAGAAUUUGCCAGUUAGCCAAAAGACUAAGACUGAAAUCAAAAGGUUCUUUGAGUAAAUUUUUACAAACCCUCCUUUCCAAGCAGAAUUACUGGGUUACAUGUGUAGCUGUCACAUGCUGGGCCCCUGAGUACAUUCACCAUGCUGUUGUGCAGAGUCUGUCUAGAAUCAUCUCAUCCUGUAAUGAGAUCAUGUGAAUUCAAAGCAUAUGAAACUUAAUCCUAGUUUUCAGGAUGAUACCCUGUAAAUUUAAAAUUGCAGAGUAUAAAAAACACAUAAUGUUCCUGACUGCUUAUUAUAAAAAAUGGGGCCCAGCUCAUUAUGGAGCAGCUUUGGUUCUGGCGCUGAAAGCAGAAUUUGGUAAAGGAACUUCAGUGGGAGAUUGAAGCUGAUGUCUGGUGACCUUUGUCAAGCAGAACAAAUGAUUCUAUGUUUGCUAGAAUUGUAUUAGUGCUGGAUGCUUCUGGUACAGCCUGAGCAAACGAAGUUUACAAGUCUGGCUGGCUGUCAGCAAACUUUGCCUUUUGAUUAAGUCUACAAAUGCUGCAGCAUGGACCCUCCAGGUAGGAAUUUAGGUUCUGCUUUAUUUGAUGCCUUCAAUAGUUCUAGAAAGUCAUUUUGCUUGUAAUAGAAAAGCGUGAUGAAAACAGACAUAAUCCUAAAUAAUGUGUUAAAAUCAAUUGUUGUGUCUUAGAUUACUGCAUAGGACAUGUCCUUUGGUACACACAGGAGUUGUUUGAACAGUUAAAGACAGCAAGGAAGAGGCUGUCACACACAUACAGGCUGUACCUCUGUGAACUCCAGCUCUGGCAUGACAAAGCAGAGCUAUCUACUAUUUAAGCUUAACCCAGCUCAUAGUGGACACAGAGCCAAAACUAGGUAAGAAAAUGCUCCCCAAAAGAGAAGCCAAAAUUUGCAGCCAGUCAUUGUCUUUUGUAUGAAUUACCUUUAAGAGCUAAAGGCUACAUGCUUCUGACUUGACCACUGAAAUGCUGUAAAUUUACUGUGGAAGUACCCUUGGUAGCUUUGAGCUUGAGGAUGUACAAGGUUUCUUAGCAGCAUUCAGUGACCUGUCUUGUGUAAUGCCAGGCAUUUCCAUGUUCAGCUCACUGCUUUAUUCUAAGGACAAACUUAGUUGGUUGCCAGUAGUCCCUCUGUGGCAGCGAUUUUGACUCUGCCUGAUUGAGCAGCAUCACACUGGAGGGAAUAAAGGUGGAAGGAUUGUCUUCCCCAAAGCUAAUGCUGGGACAAAAAUUACCUACACUGGCUCCAAUAUGUCACUGAUGUGGAAAACAGGCUUAUUGUUUUCUUCUAGCACUUUCUGCCACCUCCUUUACCUUUCUUUCCUUUCUGUCUUCUGUACUUUGGCCUCACUGCUCUCUCCUAUAUAUCUCUCUCUUCUUUCAGUUAUUGUUCCUUUACAUGCUUAAUCCAAGGCAUCCCAGUUCUAACUGGGUUUUUUUGCCUUAUUCCCUGGGAAACAUCUAUAUCCUUUCUGUUCCCUUCCCAGGGUGUAUUUUUAUGCGAGCAUUGGUGCAUCUCAGCCAGUUGCAAGCCUCCCUCUCCUCCAGCUGAGCGAGAACUUGAUAGCAACAGACUGUGUGCCUGACUGGACUAAGCUGAGCAUCUCCCCUUUGGAUAUUCUUGGUGGCUGCUGCCAUGCUCCCCACAGCAUGGCCCAGUUUCUCUCUCUGUGGUGAUGAGAGGGUUGGCAUAGAAACUGUAAAGCAACCUGGCAUCUUCCACAACUUUAUUUAUUUGCCCCUUGAAGAAUGUAACUUUCCUUUUAAGGAAGACAAACCUAUUUGGAAGAUAUUCUUGACAUCUUUGGGGUAAUGCAGUGUAGUGUUUCUCUUGCCAGCCUAUCUGAACCAUUUCAGGAGGUUGUGGUGGGUUAGAGCUGAUUGGCAGCUGUCAGUCACUGGUUCUGCAUUGUCAGUGUUUUUCUUAGGCAGGCUGAAUUGCCUGAUGGAGCUCUCUGGAAUGUAGCAGGAGGCAGUGCAGCAUUUUAAAUUAAUUGCUUGUGGAGAUAGCUGCAGGAUUGUGGUGUCAGAAAAUAUUGCUAAAUCUCGAGGGAUUUCUUGGCAUUUUGUUGCCACAAUAAAGUCAUAGUUGUCAGAGUGGCUUAGUACAGCCACCAAUACAUGUACACUUAUUUAUGCAGCCUGAAAAUGUAGUGCAAUAAUAAAAUACUCUAUUUACAUUUCUGAGACUUGCAUUCGAGUCUACUAAUGCUACUUUUGUCAUUGUCUAAAUGCAUAUUUCUUAUAUAUGAAAUUUAUAGAGAUGUUAAGAAGAGUUGUCAGUAAAGUCACGUUUUGCAACCAGUCUUAAACAUGAUCCUAACUUGUGGGUUUGCAUCUCUGUUGUUUUUUUACCUAAGCAUUUCAGUUUUGGAAAUCCAUAUUUAUAAGGAAUUUGUUCCACAGUAGAAUUGCCAUGGCAUUGUUAAUACCGGGAUGACAAGAGGCCUGAAAAUGAAGUGUUGAGCAAACAAAAGCAAUUUCCACUUGAGCUUUUUUCAACUGUCCUGAAGUCCAUCCAGUCUGUGUUGUGGAGCAUUUGCAAAGUAAGAUUAAUUCUGUGCAGAACUGCUGCUGAGUUACAGGAAGGCAGUCAGCUGAGACCAAAAAAUGAGGUUCCUGUGUCUCCAACUUUCACCUUUCAACCAGUCAAAAUUUUGCUUGCUUUGAGAAUGUAAAGGUAUCUGUUUUACUGUGUGUCGUAGUUGAAACAUCCACAUUCAGGGUUAUGUUCACUAUAAAUUAUCUUAGUUGCACAAGUGUGAAAAACACUUGUGCUGUAUGGUGUUUUUCUCACACUGUAUUUGUGUCCGUUCCUCUUGUGUCCAGUGAGAUGUUUCAAUUAAAGCAUUACAGUUAAGUCAGAAGAGCAUCCACCCUGUCAGCAACUUGGAGAAUGCUCCAAUUAUCUUCUUACCAUGUCUGUGGGACUAAACCAUGAACAUCCCUGCCAGGUUGCUCAGUCGUUCUGGGCCAAGCAGGAUUGCUUACAUGAGUAAAAAAUUCAAUGUCGUCUUGCAGUGCUGCUUAACAAAGUUGUGCCCACACUGGUCAUGGUAGAGUGUUACUGGAGGAGCUUUCCUCAUGCUUAUCUGUGCUUUUACUCCUUCCAUUUGUCUUGUUGCCUUGGUGCCUCUCGCUUCUGGGUUUUUCUUUAGGAGGAGCUUUAUGUUUCUGUUAGGAUACAUUUGUGAAUUCACUGCUUUUUCUCCCAGAACUUAAACUGGAGACAGAUUUUUAGUAUGUUUUACAGAACAGAUGUGAAAUCCAAGCUAAUUAAACUAAUCUGAUAAAAUAGGUUUUAGAAUUAAUCUAAUGUGCUACUCUGUAAAAAGCACACAUCAGCAGUACUUAUUGUCUGUAGCUACAAGAGUGUGGAAAAAAAAAAGCCCACAUGCAUUCAGCUGCUGCAGCAGCAAAGAAUUUCCUUAGAACAGUGGACAUGAUAAUCACAAUGCAGUGUGUUAGCCUAAACUUGCUAAUAAAGGUUUGUGCUCAGACCCAGUCUCACUGAGAAAGGAGAGACUGAGCUGAAAAUCAUCUGUGGAAACCUGGCAGAUUUGUGAGUUGGGUGAAGAGAAGAUAAAAUAUGAUUUUCAGGCUGUAAUGAAAGAUGGUUUUGGAGGACGUGUGCAUGUGCAAGGAGCCUGAGGGAGGAUGUGGAAGAUAGGAAAUUCUGCGUCUUUGAACACUGACAAAUCACCUGGCUCUGCUUAAUGAUCUGACAGCAUCUUCUCACCAGCUGCAUUAAGAUUUGGGCUAUUCAUCACCUUCAUAGAUUCAUAGCAUUAGGUAGCACAACUUUUCUAUCAACACAUGAUUUUUCCUGGCUGGUGAGCUGAAGAAAAGCUUCUUACAGUUCCUUCAGUAGGGGAAGUACACAAACAGGCAGGUUCUACUCCAUGUCAGAUUAUGGGAUUUGUGUCUCUGAACCAUUUUUGUCUGCCACAACCAUUUCAAGUUUGAGACAUUGAUUCCAGAAACUGGUAUUUUGCUAUUCAUCAUUAAAGAUUUGGUCAAAGGUUUCUUCUGAUCGAUUUAUUUUUGCCUUCAUAAACUUGCCUCUCAGUAAGACUUCCCAGUGUCUACUGUGAUGAAUUUAGGAAUGGCUGAAGAUCAUAAAAAAAAAAAAAUGGAGAGGUUUUCAUAGAGAUAGCAUUUGUUUGGGGAAGCAGUGGUAUCUUUACCAUUUAUUACUGGGAAGCAACUUUGUCAUCCCAUUUGUUGGGAGACAGCUGUGUACAGCUGCUGGACAGAACUAGUUUUUAGAAAGCUGGUUUAUAAGAAGUGACAUUCAUCACUGAUCCACUGAAGUGCCUUGGUGCUGCCAAGACUAAUGGGUACACUGUAACAUCAGCAACCAUAUUGAAAUAAAAAAUGAUAGGUCUUACAGUG